AUUGAACGCUGGCGGCAGGCCUAACACAUGCAAGUCGAGCGGAUGAAGGGAGCUUGCUCCUGGCUUCAGCUGCGGACGGGUGAGUAAUGCCUAGGAAUCUGCCUGGUAGUGGGGGAUAACGUCCGGUCACGGGCGCUAAUCCCGCAUACGUCCUGAGGGUGAAAGUGAUGGUUCUUCAGUCCUCACGCUAUCUGAUGACCCUAGGUCGGAUUAGCUAGUUGGUGGGGUAAGGGCUUACCAAGGCGACGAUCCGUAACUGGUCUGAGAGGAUGAUCAGUCACACUGGAACUGAGACACGGUCCAGACUCCUACGGGAGGCAGCAGUAGGGAAUCUUGGGCAAUGGGCGAAAGCCUGAUCGAGCCAUGCCGCGUGUGUGAAGAAGGUCUUCGGAUUGUAAAGCACUGUAAGUUGGGAGGAAGAGAAGUGAGUUAAUACCUUGCUGUCUUGACGUUACCAACAGAGAAAGCACCGGCUAACUUCGUG
rnacentral:rRNA from 1 species